UACGGGGGGAGCAAGCGUUGUUCGGAUUUACUGGGCGUAAAGGGCGCGUAGGCGGCCACCGCAAGUCGGUUGUGAAAUCUCUGGGCUUAACCCAGAAAGGUCAACCGAUACUGCGGGGCUAGAGUGCAGAAGGGGCAACUGGAAUUCUCGGUGUAGCGGUGAAAUGCGUAGAUAUCGAGAGGAACACCUGCGGCGAAGGCGGGUCUCUGGGCCACUACUGACGCUGAGAAGCGAAAGCGUGGGGAGCGAACAGG
rnacentral:rRNA from 1 species